CAAGAACGCCAAAAAAGUAUAACAAAAGAACAUAUAGGAAAACGCAGUGAGAUAAACAUGUGAGAGCAUGAUAUAGAAACACAGUAGGAAAACGAAAUAUAAAAAGCACAGAAGAGCAUGUAUGGUAGAAAGGAAACAUAUGAGCACAGUAGAGACAAAUACACACAAAGAAAAGGAAAAGAAAUGCCGGAGAAACAUUUUAAGCAUUUCAGAAAAUAUGAGCACAGUAGAGACAAAGACACACAAAGAAAAGGAAAAGAAAUGUCGGAGAAACAUUUUAAGCAUUUCAGAAAACCCUAAAUCGAAAAAGAAGCGAUUUUGAAAGUAAUUUUUGAAAGAAAGUUGGGGAAACUGUUUGAAAACUCAAACAGAGCAUGGAUACACAGCAGAUCUAAAAAAAAUGAGAGAUAACCUCAAAUAGUUAGGAUUUCAAAAGAACCCUAAAAUGAGAAAGGCCAUGAAAAGGUUCGAUCUGAUUUAUAAAAGAUCAGAAUCAGGCUCAGAAGACCAGGAUACGCCUGAGCAAAGCUGAAGAUGGCCGUAGAACCUUGGAUCGGUGGAGAUAUGAAUGAACAACUUCGAGGUCAGACCUCAAACCUUCAAGUACCAGUGUAUAUGAGCAAAGAGAUGUGAGUUUAAGCCUCCCAUAUCCUAAGAAGCCAUGGAUUCCGGUGGUUUCGAGGUUGCAAACAGUAGGAGGCGAUUAGGAAUUUGAGAACAUUCGAGAGAGUGGAGUGCUUAGAGGCAGCUGAUAGAUGGGAAGUGAGG
rnacentral:lncRNA from 1 species